UACGUAGGGUGCGAGCGUUGUCCGGAAUUAUUGGGCGUAAAGAGCUCGUAGGCGGUCUGUCGCGUCGAUCGUGAAAACUUGGGGCUUAACCCUGAGCUUGCGGUCGAUACGGGCAUGACUGGAGUUCGGCAGGGGAGACUGGAAUUCCUGGUGUAGCGGUGAAAUGCGCAGAUAUCAGGAGGAACACCGGUGGCGAAGGCGGCCUUCUGGACCAGUACUGACGCUCAUGCACGAAAGCGUGGGGAGCAAACAGG
rnacentral:rRNA from 1 species